rnacentral:rRNA from 1 species
UACGUAGGGUGCGAGCGUUGUCCGGAAUUAUUGGGCGUAAAGGGCUCGUAGGCGGUCUGUCGCGUCGGGAGUGAAAACUCAGGGCUUAACCCUGAGCCUGCUUCCGAUACGGGCAGACUAGAGGUAUGCAGGGGAGAACGGAAUUCCUGGUGUAGCGGUGGAAUGCGCAGAUAUCAGGAGGAACACCGGUGGCGAAGGCGGUUCUCUGGGCAUUACCGGACGCUGAGGAGCGAAAGUGUGGGGAGCGAACAGG